UACGGAGGGUGCAAGCGUUAUCCGGAUUCACUGGGUUUAAAGGGUGCGUAGGCGGGCAGGUAAGUCAGUGGUGAAAUCUCCGAGCUUAACUCGGAAACUGCCAUUGAUACUAUUUGUCUUGAAUAUUGUGGAGGUCAGCGGAAUAUGUCAUGUAGCGGUGAAAUGCUUAGAUAUGACAUAGAACACCAAUUGCGAAGGCAGCUGGCUACACAAAUAUUGACACUGAGGCACGAAAGCGUGGGGAUCAAACAGG
rnacentral:rRNA from 1 species